CUUGUGCAUAUUAAACAAUGGACACGGAUAAAUUCAUGACAUAAUUGUGUUUUGGUGAUAGUGAUGUGUUUGUAGAUCUUACUUUACUGAACAUUCUUGUUGCUACAAUUAUCUCUAUCUAUAAUGAACUUGGCCCAGUAAUUACAGUGGAAAAUGUUUUCUAAAAAUUAACAAAAAUUUAUGAAAAAUGUUAAAAAUUAACUAUAAAGGGCAAUAACUCCUUAAGGGGUCAAUUGACUAUUUUGGUCAUGUAAACUUAUUUGUAGAUCUUAUUUUGCUGAACGUUAUUGCUGUAUACAGUUUAUCUCUAUCUAUAAUAAUAUUCAAGAUAACAAAAAAACGGCAAAAUUUCCUUAAAAUUACCAAUUCAGGACAGUAACCUAACAACGGGUUAUCCGAUCCAUGUGAAAACAUCAGGGCAGAUAGAUCUUGACCUGAUAAACAAUUAAACCCUGUCAGAUUUCUCUUAAUGCUUCGGUUUUUGAGUUAUAAGCCAAAAACUGCAUUUUACCCCUAUGUUCUAUUAUUAGCCGUGGCAGCCAUUUUGGUUGAUUGGCCAGGUCACGUCACACAUUUUUUAAACAAGUUACCCCAAUGAUGACUGUGGUCAAGUUUAGUUUAAUUUGGCCCAGUAGUUUCAGAGAAGAAGAUUUUUGUAAAAGAUUACUAAGAUUUACGAAAAAAUGGUUAAAAAUUGACUAUAAAGGGCAAUAACUCCUUCAGGGGUCAACUGACCAUUUUGGUCAUGCUGACUUAUUUGUAAAUCUUACUUUGCUGAACAUUAUUGCUGUUUACAGUUUAUCUCUAUCUAUAAUAAUAUUCAAGAUAAC
rnacentral:lncRNA from 1 species